UGAGGAAUAUUGCGCAAUGGGGGCAACCCUGACGCAGCAACGCCGCGUGAGUGAGGAAGGUUUUCGGACCGUAAAGCUCUGUCGAGCGGGAAGAAAUGCAUGGUGGCUAAUAUCCAUCAUGCUUGACGGUACCGCUAAAGGAAGCACCGGCUAACUCCGUGCCAGCAGCCGCGGUAAUACGGGGGGUGCGAGCGUUGUUCGGAAUUAUUGGGCGUAAAGAGCGUGUAGGCGGCCGAAUAAGUCAGAUGUGAAACCCCUGGGCUUAACCCAGGACGUGCAUUUGAAACUAUUCGGCUGGAGUAGGGGAGAGGAAAGUGGAAUUCCUGGUGUAGAGGUGAAAUUCGUAGAUAUCAGGAGGAACACCGGUGGCGAAGGCGACUUUCUGGCCCUAUACUGACGCUGAGACGCGAGAGCGUGGGUAGCAAACGG
rnacentral:rRNA from 1 species